rnacentral:rRNA from 1 species
CACAAGCGGUGGAGCAUGUGGUUUAAUUCGAUGAUACGCGAGGAACCUUACCUGGGCUCAAAUGUAUGUUGACGUAUUCUGAAAGGGAUACUUCUUCGGACAAUAUACAAGGUGCUGCAUGGUUGUCGUCAGCUCGUGCCGUGAGGUGUCGGGUUAAGUCCCAUAACGAGCGCAACCCCUAUCAUUAGUUGCCAUCAGGUCAAGCUGGGGACUCUAAUGAAACUGCCUACGCAAGUAGUGAGGAAGGUGGGGAUGACGUCAAAUCAGCACGGCCCUUACGUCCAGGGCGACACACGUGCUACAAUGGCCGGCACAACGGGAAGCGAGUUCGCGAGGACGAGCGGAUCCCUCAAAGCCGGUCGCAGUUCGGAUUGAAGUCUGCAACUCGACUUCAUGAAGCUGGAAUCGCUAGUAAUCGUGGAUCAGCCAAGCCGCGGUGAAUACGUUCCCGGGCCUU